rnacentral:rRNA from 1 species
UACGUAGGGGGCAAGCGUUGUCCGGAAUCAUUGGGCGUAAAGAGCGUGUAGGCGGCCCGGUAAGUCCGCUGUGAAAGUCCAGGGCUCAACCCUGGGAUGCCGGUGGAUACUGUCGGGCUCGAGUCCGGAAGAGGAGUGUGGAAUUCCUGGUGUAGCGGUGAAAUGCGCAGAUAUCAGGAGGAACACCAGCGGCGAAGGCGGCGCUCUGGGCCGGUGACUGACGCUGAGGAGCGAAAGCGUGGGUAGCAAACAGG